rnacentral:rRNA from 1 species
UACGGAGGGUGCAAGCGUUGUUCAGAAUCAUUGGGCGUAAAGCGCGUGUAGGCGGCUUGGCAAGUCGGUUGUGAAAGCCCGGGGCCCAACCCCGGAAUUGCAUCUGAAACUGCCUCGCUAGAGUCCCGGAGAGGAAGGCAGAAUUCCCGGUGUAGGGGUGAAAUCCGUAGAUAUCGGGAGGAAUACCAGCGGCGAAGGCGGCCUUCUGGACGGUGACUGACGCUGAGACGCGAAAGCGUGGGGAGCAAACAGG